rnacentral:rRNA from 1 species
UACGAAGGGUGCUAGCGUUGUUCGGAAUCACUGGGCGUAAAGCGCGCGUAGGCGGCUUUUCAAGUCAGGGGUGAAAUCCUUGGGCUCAACCCAAGAAUUGCCCUUGAAACUGUAAAGCUUGAGUGUCGGAGGGGAUAGCGGAAUUCCUAAUGUAGAGGUGAAAUUCGUAGAUAUUAGGAGGAACACCGGUGGCGAAGGCGGCUAUCUGGACGACAACUGACGCUGAGGCGCGAAAGCGUGGGGAUCAAACAGG